rnacentral:lncRNA from 1 species
GUUAACUAAAUAAUCCAUCAUUUUAUAUUUUUACUUUAAUAAUAUGAAAAAUAAUAAAAUAACUUUUAAAUUUUACACAACUAAUCAAACUUUUUACAAAUUCUUUUACAGGAGAAUCAAGUUCAGGCCACUAUUUUCAGUACUGAUAUAACAUAUUUUGAAAAAGAAUUUGCUCCUUUCAAGACUUACUUGGUAUCUGUUGCA